UCAGAUUGAGUGUUAGUGAGAAACAGCUGCAAGAACUGAACACAGAAAACACAGUUCAGUCUGUUCAACUUUCUUUGAUUGAAUCCAGACUGACUGACAUCAACAACACUACUGCGGCUUUGGAGGUCAGACUAAGAUCCACCGAGACACAUCUUGAACAACUGGAGUAUCACAC